rnacentral:rRNA from 1 species
GAUGAACGCUGGCGGCGUGCCUAAUACAUGCAAGUCGAGCGAACGGACGAGAAGCUUGCUGCUCGGUUGUUAGCGGCGCACGGGUGAGUAACACGUGUAUAACCUACCUAUAAGACUGAGAUAACUUCGAGAAACCGGAUCUAAUACCGGAGAAUAUUUUGAACCACAGUGUUCAAAAGUGAAAGACGGUCUUUCCGUCGGUUGUGGAUGGAUCCGCGCUUCAUUAUCUGGUUGGUAGGGUAAUGGCUUACCAAGGCAACGACGGGUAGCCGGCCUGAGAGGGUGACCGGCGACAUUGGGACUGAGAUACGGCCCAGACUCCUACGGGAGGCAGCAGUGGGGAAUAUUGCACAAUGAGCGGAAGCCUGAGGCAGCAACGCCGCGUGCGGGAUGACGGCCUUCGGGUUGUAAACCGCUUUCGCCUGUGACGAAGCGUGAGUGACGGUAAUGGGUAAAGAAGCACCGGCUAACUACGUG